GACGAACGCUAGCGGGAGGCCUAACACAUGCAAGCCGAGCGGUAUUUGUCCUUCGGGACUGUGAGAGCGGCGUACGGGUGCGGAACACGUGUGCAACCUGCCUUUAUCUGGGGGAUAGCCUUUAGAAAGGAAGAUUAAUACCAAAUAAUCUAACGAAUGGCAUCAUUCGAUAUUGAAAACUCCGGUGGCUAGAGAUGGGCACGCGCAAGAUUAGACAGUUGGUGAGGUAACGGCUCACCAAGUCAGUGAUCUUUAGGGGGACUGAGAGGGUGAUCCCCCACACUGGUACUGAGACACGGACCAGACGCCUACGGGAGGCAGCAGUGAGGAAGAUAGGACGGUGGGUGAGAGCCUGAUCCAGCCAGCCCGCGUGAAGGACUAACGCCCUAUGGGUUGUAAACUUCUUUUAUGCUGGGAUAAACCUACUUACGUGUAAGUAGCUGAAGGUACAGUAUGAAUAAGCACCGGCUAACUCCGUG
rnacentral:rRNA from 1 species